rnacentral:misc_RNA from 1 species
UCCGGUUUGACACCGGCAGUCUCGCUAGAGUACUGCUUGCGCGAGCAACUAGCGACAGGGGUUGCGCUCGUUAAGGGACUUAACCCGACACUUCACAGCACGAGCUGACGACAGCCAUGCAGCACCUGUGCACGUUCCACCCAAAGGGUGUGGCUCCUCUUUCAAGGAGUUAAUCCGUACAUGUCAAGCCCAGGUAAGGUUCUUCGCGUUGCCUCGAAUUAAGCAACAUGCUCCACCGCUUGUGUGAGCCCCCGUCAAUUCCUUUGAGUUUUAGCCUUGCGACCGUACUCCCCAGGCGGCACACUUAUCGUUUUUACUCCGACCGAUACUACGUCAAAGCAGCACCGGUCUAGUGUGCAUCGUUUACGGCGUGGACUAC